AUCUAAAAACUUUCGAACCCUAAUCGAUAGACUCUCACUCUGAGUCUCUGACUGCCUCCUUCACGUCCCCGACUUGAGCUCAUUCUCCAACCUGAGCUCGUUCUCCACGUUCAGCUCUUUCUCUCUCGCUCUUCUCUGAAACCCUAGCGCUCUCCUCCCUCUCCUGCUCUCUUUCCAUGCUACUGUCUCUCCCUUAUUGAACUACUGCCUCCGUCCCCUCACCGGCUCCAUCGCCUCUGCCGGUGCUUCUCUUCCAACGCCACCACGUCGUUGCUCCGAGAUACGAACCCCAACUGGUCCAACCUGCCUCCAAGGAGUUUAUCCUCCUCGAUUGGUGUGACUUCAAGCACCAAAUGCCAGCAUGGUUCUAAAGCUCGCCUCUCUCUCCCGCAGCCCCGCUCUCCCCUCUCUCUCUCUCUCUCUCUCUCUCUCUCUCUCUCUCUCUCCGGCACGGCCGUACGACGCCUUUUCUUUCUUCGACGGUGACGCCGUGAUGGACUGACGGUGCGCGGUGAGUCUGGGUUUCUGUUUCUCUUAAUUUCUGCUUCUGGGUCUUCACUCUUUAAUCGAUUUAUGGCUUCCUCUUAAUUUCUGCUUCUGGGUAUUCAAUUUUCAAUCUUCAAGUCUGGGUUUGGCUCGAACUCUACUAGGUGAAGCAACUUCAAUUUCAGUUUUUGACUCGAUUUCGGAAACUUCAAGCUUGAGAUAGGUGAAGCAGUCAAGGUAAUGGUUCCGGAGUCUGUUCUAAAGAACAGGAAGAAAGAGGAGGAAUGGGCCUUGGCAAAGAAGCAGGGGGCUUGAAGCUGCCAAGAAGAAGAAUGCUGAGAAUAGAAAGCUUAUUUACAACAAAUUCAAACAGUACACCAAGGAGUACACAGAGAAGUAAGUCGUCGGCAAAAAUGGUUUCCUUCGAGAUGAAUGAUCGGAAAAGUGGUUGUUUUGAGCAAGAAGCUUGGUUUUCUGUUGUGACUAAACGUUGAGAACUGCUUUGCUUAUUUUCAUCCUGCAGCACUCAGAGCUUUUUGUGAGAUGCUUUUCACGAAGAGAAGAGCAAACGUGAAAGAAGAAAAGAAAACAAAGUUUUGACUAUGGAAUUGUUGGCUGUGGCAUAUUCGUCCCUUGUAGCCAAAAUGGAGGAGAUUAUAUAUAGGUUGGUCAUAUGCUGGAAUUUUCAGCCACACAGAAGUAUUCUCUUGCAUCUAAUUCAACUUACAAUGUGGAAGAGGCUGGUGAUCUGUAAGGCAGAAAUUGAGGAAUGUAUAGAUUUGAUAAUGGAAGAAUUAGAGAGAGUUUGUAAGAGUUAGUGAAAAAGUUUGUGAACCAGCUUUUAUGAUAUGUAAAACGAUAGCAUAUUCGGCAAAUAUUAUAAGAUUGUGAUUACUACUCUUAUCGCCUAAA